rnacentral:lncRNA from 1 species
AAGGGCGAAAACUUGCCAACAUAAAUAUACCAGCUAGGGUUAAUUAGGUUAGGUUCUAUUCUCAUCAAAAUCAUGAAAAAACUCCUUUGAGUCUGUCUUUCCAUUUAUAGAAAUUUUCUUCUUUGAAAACAAGAAUUUAGGGUUACAGUAUUGAAGAAUAUGAAGAAGACACAGAUAGUGAUCAGAAAAGAUGGAUCAAAAAGAGGUUCUUCGAGGGCUGUAAGGUAUGCGGAAUGUCAGAAAAACCAUGCAGCCAACAUCGGCGGCUAUGCCGUGGACGGCUGCCGGGAAUUCAUGGCCAGCGGAGGAGAAGGAACAGGCGGCGCGCUUACGUGUGCGGCCUGCAGCUGCCACAGGAAUUUUCAUCGAAGAGAAGUGGAAUCUGAGGUGGUUUGUGAAAAUUCAUAAAAUUCGAUAAGUAAUUGUUUGCUCUUUGUCUAUCUGUUCGUGUUUGAAAUUAAUGUUAUGUUCCGUACAUGAGGGAGUAAUUUAAUUACAAAAAGUUGAUCUAAUUUGAUAUAAGUUCAACUCAUCAAGAAAUGAUUGUGGAUCAGAACUGUGGAUUUAAAUUCAAGAUCCACAUAUAUUUAAACCGAGCGUAUCAAGAAUUUUUUUAUAUCCAAGGGUUUCAUUUCGAUGUAUUUUUCGCCUAUUUCAUCGGCACAUAACCCUAUAAAUUGGAUAAUUUUUUUCUUCAGAUUCUUCAAAGGAAACGUAUCAGAUUGCAAAAUAUGCACAUGUAAGUUAUAGCAAGAAUUCUCAUCUUCCACAGUUCUUAUUCCUCUCUCUCUCUCUCUCUCUCUCUCUUUCUCUCGGAUCAGUAUAUGUAUUGAUUGUGCCUAUGUGUGUACGCAUUUUUCUCAUAAAGAAAUUUAGACCCUUUGGGUAAAGUAGCCAAACCCAAUAUAUUCACAAAUCUGUAAUACUUUCCAUGGUUUUGUAUACAGGUGUAGUUGUCCUUUUAUCAAGCUGUAGCACUCAAAUCCAGUUAAGCUAAACAAUAUAAUAGGCUAUGAAUCUUCUAGCUUUUGGCAUUCUUAAGGAACCAAAAGACAGGAUAUGCUAGUAAUCCAACUCUUCAACUCAUUUUUCUAUUCAUCCAUUAACUUAGUUGGUCAGAAAACAAUUGCAAGACUACAUUUUUUAUUUGAAUCCAUCCAUCAUCUCAAGUUAAAGGAAACAUCCGUUUCAUGUCAACUGGCUUAGGCCCACAUAUCUACUCAUGUUUCCUUGCCAUUAUAUUGAGACAAAAUGAGAAUUGUAGAAUAAUGGAUCACAUUAUGCAUUUAGAGAUUCAAAGAAAAUUAUGUAUUCUUAAUUAACUUAUCCUAAACUAUAACAGAAGGUAAAGUGAUUUUGCACCAAAGUUACCUAAACUAUAGGAGAAGAUAAAGGGAAUUAAGAUAGAACAAUCGUAAUUUUAAUUAAGAUAGUAUUACAAUCAUAAUUUGUUGUUGAGGUAUAUUUGAAGAAGCUUGAAUCAAGGAGUUUGAUUUGGUUGACUAGAUAUUUUGAGAUUUUGAGGAUUGUUUUCUUACCUGCAUUGCAACACAGUGUUUCCAUUGGUAGCAAUAUUUUAAGAUCAAGCAAAGUUCAUAAGGAAAUGAAUUAUUCCCUAUGUACGGGGAAUAAUCUCACAGAAAUUCCACAUGGCCCUCACAUGGGGUGCCCCAUGUGAAUAUUUUAUUUCGGUGGACCCCGCUGUUGUGUGUAUUCUGUAAAAUAUCGGUAUAUAUUUCCCCUGUACGUGUAGAAUGGUCCUAAGGAAAUCAACAAUUUGGUUUUUUGUUAGAUAUGUGAGAAAAAUAAAGUUGUCAAGCUACUACUCCGUGAUGAAUGAAAUGAAAAUCAAUUGCAAGUUGUUGCUUAGGAGAGUAUAACACUGGGUUUGGAUCAGCAAAUGUAUGUUUUGGGGUCGGUAUUGUUAUAGCUGAUAAAAAUUCAUAAUGCUCAUCAAGAAGCUUAAAAAAGUCAUGAGCUUCACAUGAGAAAAGCUAUUGGUUGAAGUUCGAUCAUCUAGAUUAUGAGUCCAAUUGAUGUAUGAGAAGGCAUGUAAAUGUCCUCGAUGAACAAACCAUUAUUGAUAGUAUGCUUGAGUUAACAUACCACAUGUUCAAUGUUGUGAUUUCAAGAAUGUUGGUUUAUGAAUCGUGACAACGAAGGAUAUGUAAAAGGUGAAGACAUGUCAAAGAAUAUUGGUCGAGGAUGACCAACAAAAAUGUGAUUUUUUUUUUUAUUAUUUUUUUUAAUUUUUAGAAUUGGAUCUAGGUUGUGGCGCCUCAAAGACCUCGUUUUAUUCUUAUACUUGAAGCGAAGGUGAUUCUAUGCAAGAUCCUUGAUAUCAAAAGUUGGAAUCAAGAGAUGUAGCUACUUAUGUGAUUGAAGUCCUCACCGCAGCACAAAGAACAAUGUCAUUGAAACUACCAUAUUUGGAACAUAAAGAGAUUAAUUAGCUCAUAUAGGUGAUGACAUUGUAAGAGCCACUAGAUGGGUAUUGGGUAGUGUAAACGUUGACGGAAGUUGCAUGACAAAUGAGGAAAUAACUUCAGUAAUAUUAGACACUAUAGCAAUGAUAUUCACAAAGUAGAUAAGUAACAUGUUUGGCUUAUUUUUUUAUAAGAUUCAUUAGAUUAAUUAGUUGCUUGGCUAUGGGUAUAGAUUUUUUAUUUUGUAAGAGGGAGAUGUAAC